rnacentral:rRNA from 1 species
CCUACGGGAGGCAGCAGUGGGGAAUUUUGGACAAUGGGCGCAAGCCUGAUCCAGCAAUGCCGCGUGCAGGAUGAAGGCCUUCGGGUUGUAAACUGCUUUUGUACGGAACGAAACGGCGAGCUCUAAUAAAGUUCGCUAAUGACGGUACCGUAAGAAUAAGCACCGGCUAACUACGUGCCAGCAGCCGCGGUAAUACGUAGGGUGCAAGCGUUAAUCGGAAUUACUGGGCGUAAAGCGUGCGCAGGCGGUGAUGUAAGACAGAUGUGAAAUCCCCGGGCUCAACCUGGGACCUGCAUUUGUGACUGCAUCGCUAGAGUACGGUAGAGGGGGAUGGAAUUCCGCGUGUAGCAGUGAAAUGCGUAGAUAUGCGGAGGAACACCGAUGGCGAAGGCAAUCCCCUGGACCUGUACUGACGCUCAUGCACGAAAGCGUGGGGAGCAAACAGGAUUAGAUACCCUGGUAGUCCACGCCCUAAACGAUGUCAACUGGUUGUUGGGUCUUCACUGACUCAGUAACGAAGCUAACGCGUGAAGUUGACCGCCUGGGGAGUGCGGCCGCAAGGUUGAAACUUAAAUGAAUUGACGGCUGAGACGNGCGAGGAGACACGAGGGAGAGG